rnacentral:tRNA from 1 species
GCGCCCAUAGCUCAGUGGAUAGAGCAAUGGUCUUCUAAACCAUUGGCCGCAGGUUCGAAUCCUGCUGGGCGCG